AUUGAACGCUGGCGGCAUGCCUUACACAUGCAAGUCGAACGGUAACGCGGGGCAACCUGGCGACGAGUGGCGAACGGGUGAGUAAUGCAUCGGAACGUGCCCAGUAGUGGGGGAUAGCUCGACGAAAGUCGAAUUAAUACCGCAUACGACCUAAGGGUGAAAGGGGGGGAUCGCAAGACCUCUCGCUAUUGGAGCGGCCGAUGUCAGAUUAGGUAGUUGGUAGGGUAAAAGCCUACCAAGCCUGUGAUCUGUAGCUGGUCUGAGAGGACGACCAGCCACACUGGGACUGAGACACGGCCCAGACUCCUACGGGAGGCAGCAGUGGGGAAUUUUGGACAAUGGGCGCAAGCCUGAUCCAGCCAUGCCGCGUGCGGGAAGAAGGCCCUAUGGGUUGUAAACUGCUUUUAUACAGGAAUAAACCCCUCUACGUGUAGAGGGCUGAAGGUACUGUAAGAAUAAGCACCGGCUAACUCCGUGCCAGCAGCCGCGGU
rnacentral:rRNA from 1 species